rnacentral:lncRNA from 1 species
UUUUAGAACACUUAAAAUGCAUGCCUUAUGUAUAAGUUAAAUUUUACUCUAUAUAGUAGAGUAAUCAGGAUUAUUUUCAUGCAUGUGAGGAGUGCUCAUGUGGACGAAUGGGAUUCUCGUCUAGUAUGCUAAAUUAGCUCGUAUUCGUGUAUUGGAAACAUUAUACUAUGUUUGGACUUAGUAGCAUAAAGUGUCAUCAAGAGGCACUUGAAAUAGUAAACUAUGAAACUGUGCAAUAUAGAGACAGAAUAUUAGGCCAUUGUAUAUUUGCUAUAUAUUCCAUGUUAGAGACAUGAUGACAUAGAGAUAGGCCUUUGGGACAUUCGAUACAUUCCAUGUUAUUAGACAUGAGGACUUGGUACUUGUGACAGGACAUAUGAUUACUUGCCAUUGUGCUCAUUCGCACAUGCUUGUGAGGGUCGCUCCCUACAAGCCGGCACUCCGGAGAUGGCCAUCGCGAUUUAUAUUCACCGUGCGGGAUUGGGCGCCGAAGUGGAUUGCCGUGGGCCAGACUCAUUCCUAGGGUGGGGAUGAUGACUACCACGGGGCCACUAGGCUCGGCAUUGGCCAGACAGCCUACGGGUGGGUCUCAGGGCCAUAGACAGCCUUCGGGUGGGUCUCUUCAGAUUUGACUUUGAGUAUUCACUAUGACAUGUGGACAGAUGAUGGCUUAGUAUAUUGACUGGACAUCGACUAGAAUAGUAACAAUGACAUAUUUACUAAUUGCAUUGAGGACAUCGUAUUGGUUGCAUACCUAUGGGUAUUCAUGUAUACACAUCCAUGUACAUCCAUGAUAUAGUUGUUUUAUUACUUAUGCAAAUCAUGCUAAGUAGAGACUUCAUGUUAUAGUAAGCUACACUUUUACUUACAUUUCGCUUCACUGUUUUUUUUGUCACUGACCUCUUUUUGUAGCUUUUGGGCCUUGUGGCGCAGUUCACUGAAGUCAGUAAUUGCCAAUUGGGAACUAUUAUUUAAUAGUUCUCACGCCCUCUGUUUCAUGUUUUUCUUUCAGAGCCCUCUGCACCGGUGGAGGCAUGGGAUCGCGGCAAGGGGAUCGCUAGCUAGACAGCGAGGAUUUACUUUCACUCUUAGGUGGUUUCCCUCCUUUUAUGUUUUGGGAGAUGGAGAGAUUGUGUUUACCAUGCAUAGAGACCACCUAUGGACUCUCUUAGUUCUUGUAAUUGGAUUUGUGGUUGUCCUACUUUAUGGCUUUAUUAGUGAUUUUAGCCUGCUACUCUUCACUUUGCUUUAGUUUCUAGAUGUUGUAUAUUGCUCUGAUACUCCUAGUUAUUUUUUCCUUUAUUGUCUCUUUUAUCGCUUUGGUUUUAGACGCCUUAUAUGUUUUAGACGUAUGGCGGGUCUGGACACGCGUCGGGCGGGUUCCGCUGGGUCCCGGGGCGUGACAGAUUAUUUUGGUAUCAGAGCCUAGGGUUGAAUCUUAGUGGACCUAGCAAACCUUAGGCCGGUUGCACUAUAGGAAAUAGGCUCGUGAGAGACAAGGUCUAUUCGACUUGUAAGCGAAAGUAUCUUGAUUGGGUAUCUUUGAUAACUCUAGAAAGUGGAGUUAAAUUGAAGUGUAUAGCUUCUAACUUCGCGGAGGGUUACGUUGGCGGCCGACAACGUAACAUCGGGAGUUAGUAGUUUGGGACACUUCCUUACUUUCGCAUGAUUGGGGUAUUGGUAUUUGAGCGGGGUUCCGAUAGCGUGGGUUUUAUUAACUUGCGCUUUCAUGAUGUUAUAGUGAUGAUGCCGACUACACNCACGCGGCGGGCGGGCUUCCGCUGGGUCCCGGAGCGUGACAGAUUAUUUUGGUAUCAGAGCCUAGGGUUGAGUCUUAGUGGACCUAGCAAACCUUAGGCCGGUUGGACUAUAGGAAAUAGGCUCGUGAGAGACGAGGUCUAUUCGACUUGUAAGCGAAAAUAUCUUGAUUGGGUAUCUUUGAUAACUCUAGAAAGUGGAGUUAAAUUGAAGUGUAUAGCUUCUACCUUCGCGGAGGGUUACGUUGGCGGCCGACAACGUAACCUCGGGAGUUAGUAGUUUGGGACACUUUCUUACUUUCGCAUGAUUGGGGUAUUGGUAUUUGAGCGGGGUUGCGAUAGCGUGGGUUUUAUUAACUUGCACUUUCAUGAUGUUAUAGUGAUGAUGCCGACUACACGCUCUAAGUCUGUUAGAGCGGACGGCGCGGCAACUGUUGAGGAAGCGGAGACAUCCGCUACCUCCGGAUCCGGCGAGGUCCGUGAGUCGAAGAGCCAACUUGCGGCCCUCACUGAAUUGGUGAUGCAUCAGGCGGCGUCGACUCAACGGUAGGCAGAUGCAGCGCCUAGAGGAUCUUCUACUGCAGCAGGUAGCUGCCGGGGAGGCUCAGGUCCCUGUACCACCAGCACCAGUAAUGAUAGUUGUGCCCGGGAGGGGGGGUCGUCCCCUGUACCCAACACUUCGCGGACGGCAGCUACGGUAGCACCUCAGGAGGAGGUAUUGGCGGCACCACCAACUCAGGUGCCUGCGGCAGCGGCAGCGGCAGUUUUUCCCUUGACGGUUCAGGGAGCAGAGCGGCAGCGGCUCAUGGAACGCCUCAGCGAGUUCAAGAGGCGCGAUCCCAGGAUCUUUGAUGGAGAGAAAGCCGACCACUGGAUCGUUGAGAAGUGGUUGAUGCACCUGGAGACGUUAUUCCGCGACACUUUUGUGGAGGAGAGAGACAGAGUUUGGCUCGCCACUCACCACUUGGACGGCAAGGCCUAUAGCUGGUGGGUGGGCAUCCAGGAUAAUCCCAACACCGGUUUAGCAGCGAUCUCUUAAAAGAGGUUCAAGGAGCUCUUAUUGGAACACUACUUCCUCGUCUAUGUUAAGAAGAAGAUGGAGCAGGAUCUGCGCGAGAUACGCCGGGGGAUCGGACCGUGGCCGAGUACGAGAGGGAGUUUUUUCGGCUACUACACCGUGUGCCCUUGGUUGUGCAGGACGACGAGAAUAAGGCUCGCAUCUUCGAGCAAGGACUUCGGCCGUCAAUCUUUCGGUUGGUGCAAUCCUCCAACCUUCAGACUUACCGAGAUGUGGUAAACCGCGCGCUCAUCGUGGAGAGCGGCGCGGCGGACUUGCAGGGACGUCGAGAAGACUUGGACAGAAUGAAAGGCAAGAGGCCUGUGGCUGAGGGUGCGAGUUAGACGCACUCUGGGAGGCCGCCGAGAUAUCCUAGGAACCGGAGCCAGUCGCGAGGACGUGGCCCAUCUGUGCAGCAUGGAGAAUCCGAGCAUCGUCAGACCCUGAGCUGCGUAAUCUACGGUGGUCGUCAUUACCCACGGCAGUGCUCACAGAGGCAGGGCAGGUGCUACUCGCGUGGCCAGGAGGGCCACACCCAGUCGGAUUGCCCGAGGGGUUCUGUUGCAGCGCCAUCAUCAGCAUCGGCAUCAGGGUUACUGGGUCCCAGCCGGGGGACGCCCUCUGCCCACUACCAGACUGGGAGGCCACCUGUCCAGAGACAGACGAAGGGGUCACGACAGGCCCCGAGCCGGCACAUGUAUACGGCCCAGACUGAGAGGGCGGCAGCAGCCGAGUUUGUGACUACAAGUAUCAGUCCCUUUUGUGGUAUUUGAGUUGUGCAUUGUUUGCUAUUGGUACAUUGCAUCCAUAUUCUGAUCGGCUAUUUGCCGAGUUGCAUGGUAUUUUGUUAGUUCGCUGUUUGCGACGUUGGGUAGCCCCUCAAGCUAGGCGGUUGUUUUGCGGGUUGUGGGUAGCAUAUUUCGUUAUGCUGAUAGAUCUCACGAGGGUUGCAUUAGUUGCAUCCCUUGAUCAGCUGUUCGCCGGAAGGUGCUUGGAGACGACCGUGCCUGGACCGUUUGUGGACUAUGGAGCCUGGGGCCCUUUGGGGCAGGCGCAGUAGCUGUGUGUGACAGCGGCCUAGUACCUACGGGUAGGGCAGAGUUUUGGUCAGGGCGGUAGUCCGAGCGUAGACCCUGAAGCAUGGAAAGCCACGCGUUGGAUCGUGAGAUCGAGGACGCACCGAGUGUGUGGUGACCCAACCCGAGGAACUGUUAGCGUUGAACAUCUUCGACGCAGGCAGGAUGAUCGGUUGAGCGGGUGUGUCAUUUUGAACACCCUACCAUGUGAGAUGGUUUUGUGUGCCAACAAAUGGAUUGGCCUUGUUUUGUAUGGAGUUGUUGUGGGUACCUAGUGCUCUUGGAUUACGAGCUGACUUGACUCGCCUUGAGGACUUUGAGCACGAAAUAGUGCUAUUUGAGAAUUUAUUUUCGCUCGUUGCGUUGACUGUCUCCCUUACCAAAGUUGGGUAAGUGUUGGAGAGAAUUCGAGGUCUAGCUGGCCAUUAGUUCUGGUGAUCAAGAAUCCUCAGAAUGAAGGAUGUCUUUGAUCUAUGGUUGUGCCCCCAACCGAGUCACAAAUCGUAAACUCGAUUGGCGGGGAGGCUUUAUAGCUGGUGUUUUGCUUCGUGGUGGAGCACUCUCACUUGUUGUGGGACCGGUUGGGCCGUUUCGACUGUAUGUCGACUAUCGUGAUUCAAAUUGAACCACGAUUGGGUGUUUGGACCGUGCUGAGGCCCAUUGGUCUUAUCGUUUGGCCUUGGGUUGUUGGUGUACUCGAUAAGAUUGUAAACAAUCGGAGUAAUGCCGUUUGAUGUUGGAGUUUGAGGUUACACCUCAAACGGGUUGUGAUGCUAGGUUGGGACCUCACGAGAGUGAUGUUGCCAAGCCUGUAGUACUCCACCAGUGGAAGGGACUUGCGGAAUGAUAAUCCCAAGCCCUUUGGAUGACCUGGGAUAUUUCUUUUAUAGGAGGUGCGAGUUUGGACUGCGUAGGCAGGUUCGAAGUGAUCGAGUUGGGGGACUCUCACUGACGGAUGGAGGACUCGCGAGAGGGAAGGUAUAAAGUUACUAAUUUCCCUUGUUUGGAGCGUAUACAAGGAUUUGAGUUCAUUGGGAUAGCACUGCAUAUAAGCACUUAUGGGAUUGACUUUGGCUUGACAAUCGCGUCAGGAUGACCUUGAUAGGGAGUUAUUACUUAACUAUGGAUUAAUCCCUCUCUAUCGCGUGGACUGAGCUCGGUGGUUAUGGACACUUGGAGCAUCCACUGCUAAGGAAAGCAUUGGGAUCGAAAGUUUCUAUGUGAUUGUGUUAUGAACCUUCUGUCGAAGCUAGGCCCUUGGCUUGGGCUUGCGAAGAAUUUACUUGGACUUAAGUUGGGGCUAAAAUGAUGAUCUUAGUGGAAUGAUGAAGCUUCUUAGCUUGAUCCCUAGCCAUGUAUCACAGGGGAUUUGAGGGUACUCCCGAGUUGUGAGUUUGAGAUUGAUGUGGAGACAUCGUAUCGCCGUGCCAAAUGAGGAAUCAAGUAAUCGCCAUGAUGAGCGAGUUUGGACGGAUAGUCGAUCUCUAUUACUAUUGGAAGAAUGGCUACCUUGAAUGUUGAAUUGGAACCGUUCGUGCCAAGCAAGAUUGGACGGAUGAAUGGGCGUUGCAAAUAGCAAUGGGAUGGAAAGGGUUACAUCAUACGUAACCUUAGCUUAGAUUGCACUCAGUUGCACCGUCACGAGAAGAGAUUUGAUUUUGGAUCUGAAGGAUCAUCGUUGGAAUUUGAGCCGAUGAAUGGAAUGGGCAUCACCUUCCUUUGAUAAGUGAUGAUCGGGUAAGUACUCCAGUUGAGUACUUGAUGGAAUUUCAUAUACAAGAGCGGUGGAAGCAAAGCUAAGCUUUACCCUUGACUGAGACGAGGAAGGCGAAAACUAGAAUUCAGCUGUUGGGAAUACUUGGACUGGAGAGAAACUCGCACAGGUUUACCUGGAUGAGAUUGUGCGAUUGCACGGGGUACCUACUUCUAUUGUAUCAGACCGAGACCCCCGAUUUAUAUCUCACUUUUGGUGAAGCUUACAGAAUGCUUUGGGUAUGCGCUUGGAUUUCAGCACUGCUUUCCACCCCCAGAGUGACGGGCAGUCGGAGCGUACUAUACAGACUCUUGAGGACAUGCUCCGAGCCUGUGUGAUCGACUUCCAGGGAGGAUGGUCGCAGCAUCUACCAAUGGCAGAGUUUGCUUAUAACAACAGUUAUCAAGCAAGCAUCAAGAUGCCACCAUUCGAGGCACUUUAGGGACGGAAGUGUAGAUCGCCACUUCUUUGGAGUGAAGUUGGCGAGAGACUGGCUUUAGGCCCUGAUGUGCUCCAAGAAGCAGAGGACAAGGUUCGCAUUGCUAGGGAGCAACUAUUGACAGCCCUGGGUAGGCAUAAGAGUUAUGCUGAUAAGGGUCGACGAGACUUGGAGUUUCAGAUUGGAGAUCAUGUCUUCUUGAAAGUCUCGUCGACCAGAGGGAUUAGAAGAUUUGUCAUCUGGGGCAGGUUGAACCCCCGUUUCAUUGGACCGUAUGAGGUUUUGGAGCGUGUAGGUCCGGUAGCAUAUCGACUUGCUCUACCACCGAACCUAUCGGGCCUGCACAAUGUCUUUCAUGUAUCGGUCCUUCGGAGGUACAUACAUGACCGAGCUCACGUUUUGAAGGAUAUACCAGUGGAGCUGCAUGAGGAUUUAAGCUUCGAGGAGCAGCCCGUGAGGAUCUUGGCUCGCGAGGUGCGGAAGCUGCGGAACCGAAAAUUCCCUACGUGAAGGUGCUUUGGAGCAACCACGACGAGCGCGAGGCCACUUGGGAAUUGGAGAGCGAGCCAUGGGAGCGCUAUCCCCAUCUUUUUCAGAUAGAUGCUUAAGGUAUUUUGCUUUUGAGUUUCGCGGACGAAACUCCUUUUUAAGAGGGGUGAAUGUAACACACUGGACCUUUGCAAAUUGCGAGGUUCGAGUGUUGGUUGUGUGCCGAGCGUUUCCACAUGUUGUGGAGGGUCGUAGACAGUGAUCCGACCCAUGGUUCGAGUCCCGAGAAUUGUGGUUUAAAACCUUGCACCAAAAUCCAAAAAGUUGGAUUUUUGGUCAGCUCUCGGGUAGCCUUCAGCAGGCAGUGUACCGGUACGGGCCUGAUGGCUGUACCGGUACGCAGUGAUGGCUGUACCGGCACGCGGGCCGUGUACCGGUACACAGACAGCUUCUGGACAAACCCGAGGCUCGGGUUUGGGUUUUCGUAGGUUGUGUACCGGUACACAAUCCCGUGUACCGGUACAUAGUGCAGACUGGGCUGCUGUUCGGGCAGGGGGGUGUUUGCAAUUAUUACAACACCUAUAUAUGCCACCCCAACCCCUUUGAGAGCUCUUUUGAGCCCUAGAUCAGAGGAGAGCAAGGUGAGUCUUCCUCCCUUUGUUUUGAUUUCCAUUUUUGAUGGGAUUUGGCUAGGUUUUGAUCUCCUCCUCCUUGUUUUUCUUGCUUUUUGUUGGGUUUCCUCCAUGAGAGAAGCCUUGAGCUCGGGAUUGGAGCUUUGUGGAAGGAAGAUCUUGGUACCUUGUGGACUUGAGCUUGGAAAGAAGCUUCUAAAAGGUUUGUGGCUAGUUCUCUCCUCUAGAUUCGGGUCUUGAUGGAUUUUGCUAGAUGAAACCCUAGAUUUUGGGUUUAGGGUUAAAGUUGGGGAUUUUCGUUUUGAGGCCCUUGGAACCCAAUUGAUGGGUUUAGAAUCUUCCUUUAGGUGGGAUUGGAAGGAUUCUAGCUCUCCUUGGAAGCUUGUUUAGGGAUUUCUUCACAAAAGGUGAGUUUUGACCCUUUUUGCUAGAUGGUUAAUGAUUGAGCUUUUGGCUCUUCGUUUCGUUAGGAUAACCCUAUUUUUGAUGCUUCUAGGGUACUAGGAAGCUCGUGGAUCACUUCGUUCGGCUAAACGAAGAAGUCGAUUUUGGUGGGUUUGGCUUCGUGGAAGAGGGGCAAAAUGGCCCCUAUGUUCUCUAUACUUGUUGUAAAGUAGUUUUUAAAUGCAUUUCUAUGCUAAUUGAAAUUUAUGUGAAUUUUAGAACACUUAAAAUGCAUGCCUUAUGUAUAAGUUAAAUUUCACUCUAUAUAGUAGAAUAAUCAGGGUUAUUUUCAUGCAUGUGAGGAGUGCUCAUGUGGACGAAUGGGAUUCUCGUCUAGUAUGCUAAAUUAGCUCGUAUUCGUGUAUUGGAAACAUUAUACUAUGUUUGGACUUAGCAGCAUAAAGUGUCAUCAAGAGGAACUUGAACUAGUAAACUAUGAAACUGCAACAUAGAGACAGAAUAUUAGGCCAUUGUAUAUCUGCUAUAUAUUCCAUGUUAGAGAAAUGAUGACAUAGAGAUAGGCCUUUGGGACAUUCGAUACAUUCCAUGUUAUUAGACAUGAGGACUUGGUACUUGUGACAGGACAUAUGAUUACUUGCCAUUGUGCUCAUUCGCACAUGCUUGUGAGGGUCGCUCCCUACAAGCCGGCACUCCGGAGAUGGCCAUCGCGAUUUAUAUUCGCCGUGCGGGAUUGGGCGCCGAAGUGGAUUGCCGUGGGCCAGGCUCAUUCCUAGGGUGGGGAUGAUGACUACCACGGGGCCACUAGGCUCGGCAUCGGCCAGACAGCCUACGGGUGGGUCUCAGGGCCAUAGACAGCCUUCGGGUGGGUCUCUUCAGAUUUGACUUUGAGUAUUCACUAUGACAUGUGGACAGAUGAUGGCUUAGUAUAUUGACUGGACAUCGACUAGAAUAGUAAACAAUGAUAUCUUUACUAAUUGCAUUGAGGACAUCGUAUUGGUUGCAUACCUAUGGGUAUUCAUGUAUACACAUCCAUGUACAUCCAUGAUAUAGUUGUUUUAUUACUUAUGCAAAUCAUGCUAAGUAGAGACUUCAUGUUAUAGUAAGCUACACUUUUACUUACAUUUCGCUUCAC